rnacentral:lncRNA from 1 species
ACAGGAAUAGAGACAGGUAGAUAGGAUCAAGGUGACAGGAACAGAUGUUCAGAGCAAGAGAUGAAGACGGCAUCAUCAACCCAGACAAGCCAGUUGGAGGCAUCUGUCCACCCAUGUGGUUCCAGACACGUUCAUGUGGCCACCAUGACCCCGUCGGCAUCACAGGGGUAACCAAGGUCCACAGAACGAGGGGAAAGGGUCACUGUGGAUCAAGCCAGGCUCCUCUGAGCAGUCCAGGGUCUAUUUACAGAGAGCAGCAAGUUCCUGGGACAGAGGAGACAGAAGGGAAUUUCCAGGUUCUUCAGGACGUUCACAACCACACUGAGAAGCAUCUUUGCAGAUAAGUAUUUAAACUUACCAGCCCAUAGCCUACCAGCCUGCCCUCUUCUGGUCUGUGCAGGAAAGUGUAGUAUCCUAGAAUGCCAAAGUGGGAGGGGAAAUGGGUGAUGUAGCUCAUUCUCUUUUCUACCUCUAUGGAAGAAAGAAAGAGCCUGUCCCCAUUUUGUGGGGUCCCAGAAAGGGUGAUUUUCACACUUCACAUUUGGCGUUAGGGCUAGUAUUUCACAAACAUUACCGUCUGGAACUUUUGAAGGCUGAGUUAAAUGACUUCAUCUUGUGUACUUGUAGAACUGCUAUUAGAAGGAGGCUGGGGACUCCCUGAUGAUGUGAACCAGCCCUUCUCUUCUCAGUUUCAGCACUUUGUGAUCAUAUUUAUAAACCUUGGACAGGGCUCCUUGGCCUUAGAGUUAAGUGAAGAGUUAACACUGUGACUUUAGAUGCAUUUUUCUCAGUGUAAGUGUCUGAGCUCAUCUCCAGUUCUGGACUCGUGCCCCCACUCCCGGGUGCUGACAGCAAGCUCUGAAGAUAUGCUGAGAGAGCUCCCUGACUCUCCUGACUCAGGUCUGCCAGUUGAUGAAGACAGCACAGUUGUUACCAAAAACAAAACCUGGCAGAUGGUCCUAGGUCAGGAUUAGUGGUCAUUCUCUGGUCUUCUCCAGACUGGUGACACAGGGUGGUCUUAAAAGAGUCCUAGUCCAGCCUCUGGCUCCCCGAAUUUCCUCUGGUGCAUGGGGCAUCAGGAAAGGGCAGGGGAGAAGGAGGGGGAGCAGAAAAAUAACUGAGGCUGGGCAGAAGGGUCCCUUCCAUUUCCCAUCCAUUGCUUCAAACAAUGGGUGAUUACCGUGCACCUUGAGUGAAUGUCAAGGCAGGAAGGGUUCCAGGGCCACCCAGUGUGGCAGGAGCAGAGCUGGGAUCAGAAUUCUGGAUUCCUGACUCUCCGUUCAGCUGCUAUUCAGCUAUCACCAAGCUGCUGAGUUUGUCCUACUUUCUCCUGGGUCACAUUCUGCUGUUGUUGGGAAACAGGGAGUGAGUGAAGGGAACCUGGGAACCCUUCUCCCCUCACCUUUUAAGGAUGUUCUGGGGUGGAAUAAAGAGAGGUGGAGGGUGGGGUGCCUGGGCCCAGCCUCCCUGGCUCCUGGUCCUUCUUUCUUCAGCAGGGAGUUCUGGCAAGGCCUGGGCCUGGGGAGGGGGCCUGGGUGCAGUUUUCUCCUGCGGUGUGGUUGGCUCUUUUGUCUUCCAGGAUGGGCCUGUGGGGUCUGUGUGGGGAAGGAAGGAGCUGGGAGCCUGGGCUGCCUGUGUGUCGGCUGGAUGCUGCCAGCACCGGCAUGGACCAAGCAACUUCUCUGAGCCAGAUGCUGGGGACGCAGAGGUGAACCCAGAGACAUGAUCCCAUCUGCUCAGAUCUUCAUGUCAGAACACGCUUUAUUACAGUCUCGGCAAGGGGGUGGCUCCAUCUGGGCCGCAUCUCCAGGACUCCUGGCCUGGACUUCUCUUUGGACCUCGGGUGACCUUGGAUUCUGGCCACAGUGACUUAGCGGUCAGACUCCGGUGGUUUUCUAGCCCGCUGGGUGACUCCCUGAAGAUCUCAUCCUCUUCACACCUGUUGGGAUGGAGCCUCCCAUGGAUAGGAACUCUUCCUGGUUGAUGCUCAGCAGAUGACUGAUCUGGCUCUGGAGGACAGCUCCAGGGGUAUGAGGGAGGCCUGGCAGCCCACUACUCCCUCCUCACCUGCUCGGGCCCUGCCUGCUGGGCCCUAUUGUCUGGGUCUGGGGGCCCUUUCCUGCCCCAUGUGAACUUGAUUCCUCCUCGCGUUUCUGCCGGUGACCAGACAGAGCCUGGCCUGGGCCAAGUCCCCACUGACCACACUUUCCCCAAGGCUGGGUCUCAAAGGACCCUACAGGAUGGGGACAGGAACAAGGAUGGGAGUCGGGGAGGGGCUGUCAGGCAGAGGGCAGAUGCAGCUCCUCGGGUGCCGCUGGCUGGAGUCCUUUGUCUCCAUUUGCUCAGUGCGUAAUUGUCAUUUUGUGGGGGACUUCCUUGGUGGGGCUUUUCCAUGCUUUUCCUCUCCCUGAUGGUUACAAAGAGGAGACAGUCAGGAUCUGGGAGGAGCUGGAGCCUUCCCCCUGUGCUGUUGAACUCUGGGAGGGGCAGCCAGAGGGGCUGAGAGUGCACCAUCCUGAAAAGAGAGGGUCUUUAAGAGAUAAGAUUUAGGCUAGGGAAAUUCACUAGAAAGAGACAGGUGGCCCUGGGUUUUUUUUCCUGCCAUCCAAAGGGAACCAGUCUUACCCAAAGGCUUAAGGGGUCACCUUAGCCCAGUCUCAGGACACUCUUCUCCAAUCAGAUCGCUGCUUCUAGUUGCACUGCUCCUGGAUUCUGUUCUUGGGGAACAGAAGGUGGCAGGACAGGCCCCACAAUCUGCAAUUCCAGCUCCCUCCAGAGGAGACAGUCCCAGCGUUUGCAAGAGAGCAGCUUGUGGCCUCCCUUAGGCAAGUUUAAAAGCCAGAUGUCCUUUUUCCCAGAAUGCGGAGUGGUGUGUACUAUUCAUCAGCUUGGGCUGCCACAGCACCAUGCCAGACUGGAUGGCUUAAACAUCAGGAAUUUAUUUUCUGCCAGUUCUGGAGGCUGGAAAGUCCAGAUCAAGGUGUUAAGACUUGGUUUCUGGUGAGGCCUCUCUCCUUGGCUUGCAGGUGGCACCUUCUCACUAUGUCCUCACAUGGCCUUUUCUCUGUGGAGAGGGACAGAGAGCAUGAGCAGGCUCUGGUGUCUCCUCCUCUUCUUAUAAAGACACUAAUAUCACCAUAUUAGGGCUUAAACCUAUGACCUCAUUUAACCUUAACCCCUUAAAGGUCCCAUCUCCAAAAACAGUCACAUAGCAGGCUACUGCUUCAACAUAUGCAUUUGGGGGAGGGGACACCAUUCAGUUCUUAACAGGGUGGUCACCGCAAACAUGGAAAGUCAGAGCCUUCUCCCCUUCAGAAUUCCCGCCCCCACCCAGGGAUGGGGAGGAGGAGCAGAGAGGUAUGGGAAGCAGACACGGAGAGUGGCAGGUACCAUGCUGGGGUGGCUCAGGAGUGCUUCGGAGGACAUAUGGAACUGGCAGGGCUCAGUGCAGGGAGGCGGAGGCCCUGGGAGAGCCGUGUCCUGAGAAGGGCCUGGGCUACAACCCUGGGCAAGUUACUUCACCUCUGAGCCUCCGAUGCUCUGUGAAAUGGAAGGAAUGUGCUUGCCUGUCAGGUGCAGGGAGAAUUCAGUGAGAUUGUGUGCCUAGCACAGUGCCUGACUCCCAGUAGGUGCUCAGCAAAUGCUCCCAUCCAUCUGGGAGUAUAGACUUAGGGUUUAUCUAUUUUUUUUUUUUUUUGGCUCUCUGGACUUUAAAACUCAGCAUCUUCUGAACCAGAGGCAUUUCUGAUUAGCCCUUCCCUACCUAUUUUCCUAGUAUCACUCUUUAAUCAGCUUGGGGAGGUGGCAGCAUUUCAUGGCCUCCGUAGUAACUCACAAUGCUUCCUGGGGUAUUUAAAUUCUACUCUCUCAUCAGCACUGAGCACCUACUUUGGGCCCUUUCCCGUGCUAGCCAUUUGGGGGAAAUAUAGGUGAAGAGUGGCUGGGGUUUGAACCUUUAGGAUUUCACAGCCAUGCUGGAUGGGAUAAAACCAGCUCACAUGGAGAAUCAGAGAAUGGGACAGUGCCACAAAACAGUCUACUGAGGCACAAGUUCUGAGUGCCUGGGAAGUGGUAGAGAGACCCCAGAGAGGGCUGCUGCAGUCUGGAACAGCUUCCUAGCAAGCUGUACCAAACAGGGCCUUGAAGGAUGAGAAAGAUCUGGCUGAGAUGAUACCCGACCCUCUAGGGAAAUUCUUAAAGUAACUUCUAGGAAAUGUCAUUGCUCCUUAAAAAAAAAAAAAAAAAAAAAAAAGCAGGUUCUAAUUCAAAUUCCGCUGCACUACUGAAGUAGUGCAGGACUUAUCAGAACCUUUAAAAUGCUAAUGGCAAUUUCAAAUACUCAGGGACAGGGCAUAGGAUGAAGUGUUCCUUGACUUUUAUGGCCGUAGAAUCUUUUUCUCAUGGAACAUCGUUUAGAACUGUGGGAGAUGCUAGGCUGGGGUUUCUAUGGGAAAAGUACAGCAGUGAUAGAAGAUGGCAUAAUUAGGGUACACUUAGGUGCUUUGUAGCAUUGGCUGAAAAGGAAGCAGACCGGGUGGGCGUGGGGGAGUCUCAACUUGGUUCCAGGAGCCAGGCCAGCUUGAUGCGUUUUUUUUUUUUCUAAUGGUGGGAGGGCAGGCCAAUAGUUGGAGAAACUAGAGGCCUGACAGUCGGUGAUGGAAGAGAUGUCUACUAAGCACGGUUGUCAGAUCUUUUGCGGAGAGAUGCGGGUGUGCGUGUGUCUGUCAGAGUGUAACAGGAUCCAGCCCUCUGGGAAGGGGCUGACCAGAACCAGGCAGGGGGUUUCUGUCUAGGACAAGUAGGGUCCAUUUUCAGGGGAGCUGAAAUAUUUGCAGGGGGUGCUCUGAGACCCACAGCCAAUAAAUAGGGAAGCAACAUGCUUUUGGGCAGGGUCCAUGUGGUUAGGGUUGAUUUUGAUGGGGCUGGGGGGCUUAGAGUUAGACCCCCUGCCCUGGUCAGGCCCCACUCCCUGGCUGGUGGGGGCGGGAGGCCUCUGAAGCUGCAGCUGGAGGGGCCGGGGCAGUGUUGCAUGGUGUGAUUAACCUACUAACCCAGGGCUCAGCCGGGACGCUGUGGCGUGUGACGAGGUGCCUGGCCUUCUGCCAACCAACUAACCCACUAACCAGGCCCGAGCAUGCCCUACUAACCACCCCCCCGCAGCCAGAUCCUACUAACUGUGCAGCUCAUGGGCCUUUCAAGGGGCUGGGAUAUGGGGGCAGCCAAGGCUCCAGAAGGCUCUGCCUAUGGGCUGGGAUCUUUGUGCAGACCCACGUUCCAGGACAGAGAAUGCAAAUAAGACUCACCAACUCUGCCACUUCCUGUUGAGUGAGUUUGAGUAAGUCACCUCACUUCUCUCAACCUCAGUUUCCUCAGUGGUAGAAUGCGAGUUCUGAUACCUUACAGGUUGCAGUGAGGAUUCCCGUCAAUAUAAGGGUCUCAGCACAUGGCAGACACCUAAAAAAAAAAAAAGUAUGAGGAUGGAGGAAGGCCCCUCAAACCUGGUUGAACACGUCUGCUGCCUAGGCCCUGGCCUCUCUGGGUGUUCUGCACACAGAUCCUUCUGCCUGGGGCAAGACACUUGGCUUUGAAUCCAUGUCACUUCCCCACAUUCUUCCUCCGUCUCAGCUUUCUUUUCUGUAGGCAGCUCUUUUGUUCGAUUACUAACCCGUCUAACCCCUGGGGUGCCUCAACUGCACCCCGAUCAUCCCUUAACAAACUAACGGACCUGCGUGCGUUCUUCCUUUUCUCUUAGCGACUCCUGUGUGUGUCUGCUGAGGUGCCCUGUCCGCUGGUGCUGUGCUCUGACUUACUAACCCAGCCCCUACUAACCCUGUUUUCUCUUCUUACUAACCCCAGCCCUGCCGAGCUCUGGGCUCCCCCCGGGGGCUGGUCCCCCUCCUUUUGGCAAGCAGAUGACCUGGGGCUACUGGCCCUGUAGACAGAUGUCCCACUUUGCUGCCCCAUAUUGGCUGUAAGAUCAGAGUCCACUGGGCCAGGUCUAAGGCAGGGGAUGGCCCUAUUAACAAGACUCAGAGGAGGAAGAGGUGGUCCUGUGGAUGUGGGAGGCUGGACUCUGAGUAUGACAUCUCUCCUAUGUGCAGAAGUCUGGUUGCCACUGGGAGUAGGUGGGACCAGGGAAAUCUCUGGGACGUGAGUGUGGAGGCCUGUUGGUCUAGACUCUAGACUGUGGAGCUCUGAGCUUUUGUGUCCUCUGGAAGGAAGCUGGGGAAGAAUCCUCUCCAUUGUUAAGUGACGGGGAUAGAAGCUGUCCUGCACAGGAAGUCACGAGGGGGGCGUAUCCCACGAGGAAGGCAGGAGGGGGCGUGCCCCUCACCGGAAAUUAGCAGAGGGGCGUGUCCCACACCGGAAGUCAGAAAGCGGAGCCUUUCUUACACCGGAAGUCAAUGAAGCGGGUCUUUCCUACGCUAAAAACCACUGAGUGGAGUAUUUAGUACACAGGAAGUCGGCCAGAGAAACAUUUCUCAUAUUUGAAGGCCGGAAAGAGGGACAUUUCUGACACCGGAAGUCAGUGAGAGGACUCUUUCCCACACAGGAAGUCAGCUAGAGAGCCGUCUCCCCUCUCUGGAGCCGAGAGAGGCCGGUUUCCCCCACCGUAGCCCACCUGGGAGGAAUUUUCCAGAGAUCACUGUCUGAUGACCCUGUCUUGGAAUUGGAGCCAUGCAAGUUACACUGACCACGUUUGGGUUGGGAUAUUGAGGAGGUUAUGGUUAAAAGCAUACGAUGGGAGAUCAUAUUGUACUUGCGAGUGAGACCCGGCUGGAGGAAUGUUUUAAUUCUUCGGAAAUACCAAGUGGUCUCUACAGAACACUGAAGAUUCUGCUCUCAGGGUGUUGAUUGACGUCUGGAAGGCAGAGACUCGUGGAUUAGCAAGCAUGUGUAAGAAAGUGCUCUGGAUGCCACAGGGUGGUAAUUUGUGCAUGGAAAAUGGCUGGGGUGAAGAGGAGACUAGGCUUUAUCUUGUCAGGUGGUCUCUGUGGUUCCAGUACCCAUGAGGGAGCUGAGUCUGAAGGACCUUGGAGCUUUGCAGAUAUAAAGAAAAAGCUGAUUUAAGCUUCCCCAGUUUUCCCUGCCCCCUUCAUGAAAGAAUUACAGCAUAUAAUAAGAAAAAUCUGGAGAAACACUUAUUUUUAUGGAGGGCUGGAGGACCCCAAGGUCAAACAGUGAAUGGGACUGAACAAAAGGUAAGGAUGUGACUCACCCAUUCAGUAAAACUUGUUGAUGCCACAGUGAAAUUUCCCGCCUAGUGCACUAGCUAGAAAUGCAAAAGGCACUCACCGUGGAGUGUAAUAAGUGGGGGUUAAACACAUGCUAUGGAGGAGAACAGAAGGGGAACCCACACUGGUGACACCAGGCAUGGCUUCCUGAAGAAAGUGGCCUCUAAGCUGAUACUUGUAGGAUGUGGAGGAGCUAGCCAGGAGAGUGGGCAAUGGAGUUGAAAGAAACUUCUUGUCAGAGGGGAAAAGCAUGUGCAAAGGUCCUGAGGUGAGAGAGAGCAUGUCCACUCAGGGAAGUGAAGGAAGUCCAGUCUGGUGAGAGUGUUAAGUCUGAGAGAAAGACUAGAUAGAACGAGGCUCGGAGGUCUCCUAAUUUUCAUCCCCUGAACUUUAUGCAGUUGUAAUUUUAAGGUCAUUUGUGACAUUAUUCAGUGUUUCCCUCACUGAAUUGUGAGCUCAUAAGGGCAGUAGUUGUGUCUGUCUUGGUCAAAGCUGAAUCCCCAGGACCUAGCAUGGUGCUUAGCAGCUAUAAAUAGUGUUGAAUGAAUGAACGAGUAAGGUUAGAGAGGCAGGCAUGAGCCAGAUCCUGAAUUGAUUUGAAUGCCAUGGACAACAUCCAGAGGUGUCCAGAAAGAAGGUGGCCUUGACCAGAAUUCCUCAGCCUUGGCUGCACAUGAGAACCAG